UUCACAGAUUGUUACAGCGUAAGGGUUGAUUCAGACCGCAACGCGACGCGUAGACGCAUUUCUAAAUGUGUAUGGUUUUGACAGAUUUCAAUUGCGU